rnacentral:rRNA from 1 species
AGCGCAGGCGGACCGGCAAGUUGGAAGUGAAAACUAUGGGCUCAACCCAUAAAUUGCUUUCAAAACUGCUGGCCUUGAGUAGUGCAGAGGUAGGUGGAAUUCCCGGUGUAGCGGUGGAAUGCGUAGAUAUCGGGAAGAACACCAAUGGCGAAGGCAGGUCCCUGGGCCGUCACUGACGCUGAGGAGCGAAAGCGUGGGGAGCGAACA